rnacentral:rRNA from 1 species
ACGAACGCUGGCGGCGUGCCUAACACAUGCAAGUCGAGCGAGGAGAUUCCUUCGGGAUGAUCCUAGCGGCGGACGGGUGAGUAACACGUGGGCAACCUGCCUCAUAGAGAGGAAUAGCCUUCCGAAAGGGAGAUUAAUACCUCAUAACAUUGCAGUUUCGCAUGGAACAGCAAUUAAAGGAGUAAUCCGCUAUGAGAUGGGCCCGCGGCGCAUUAGCUAGUUGGUGAGGUAACGGCUCACCAAGGCGACGAUGCGUAGCCGACCUGAGAGGGUGAUCGGCCACAUUGGGACUGAGACACGGCCCAGACUCCUACGGGAGGCAGCAGUAGGGAAUCUUCCGCAAUGGACGAAAGUCUGACGGAGCAACGCCGCGUGAGUGAAGAAGGUUUUUUCCGGAUCGUAAAACUCUGUUGUCAGAGAAGAACAAGUUGGAGAGUAACUGCUCCAGCCUUGACGGUAUCUGACCAGAAAGCCACGGCUAACUACGUGCCAGCAGCUGC